rnacentral:rRNA from 1 species
UACGUAGGGGGCUAGCGUUGUCCGGAUUUAUUGGGCGUAAAGAGCGUGUAGGCGGCCAGGUAGGUCUGCUGUGAAAACUCGAGGCUCAACCUCGAGAUGUCGGCGGAAACCAUCUGGCUAGAGUCCGGAAGAGGAGAGUGGAAUUCCUGGUGUAGCGGUGAAAUGCGCAGAUAUCAGGAAGAACACCCGUGGCGGAGGCGGCUCUCUGGGACGGUACUGACGCUGAGACGCGAAAGCGUGGGGAGCGAACAGG